rnacentral:lncRNA from 1 species
UUAGUUCGGUUUAUUAGCAUUUUAACCGGCAUUUACGAUUAAAUGUAGUUGAUACAGUGAUUUAUGAAUAGUGUAGGGACAUCGAUAAGGACACUCUCAAGGAUCCAAAUUUCUUGCAAACUUAAGUUAUGCAGCAAGUUUUGCAAUCAAAUCUUCAUAUCUGACGACACUACUAGAUAAGUUGUAUCGUUCAAUUAACUGAUACUACUGAUUAGGUAUGUAUAAAUGGUUCAG